UCUCUGGUAGUAUAGUGGUGAGUAUCCGCGCCUGUCACGUGCGAGACCGGGGUUCGAUUCCCCGCCAGAGAG
rfam:Strongyloides venezuelensis genome assembly, scaffold: SVE_contig0000030